rnacentral:lncRNA from 1 species
AUUAUCUCCAUAAGCUGAAAUAUUGGGUCUUGGUUCAAAAUCCUCAAGGGUUUCCUUCUUUUCCUUAAAAUCAAUUUCAUUGUCUCCAUAAGCUGAAAGGUUGGGUCUUGGUUCAAAAUCCUCAAGGGCUUCCUUUUUUUCCUUAACAUCAAUGUCGUUGUUAUCAUAAGCUGAAAUAUUGGGUCUUGGUUCAAAAUCUUUAACGGAUUCCUUCUUUUCACUAGAAUCAAUUUCAUUGUCUCCAUAAGCUGAAAGGUUGGGUCUUGGUUCAAAAUCCUCAAGGGCUUCCUUUUUUUCCUUAACAUCAAUGUCGUUGUUAUCAUAAGCUGAAAUAUUGGGUCUUGGUUCAAAAUCUUUAACGGAUUCCUUCUUUUCACUAGAAUCAAUUUCAUUGUCUCCAUAAGCUGAAAGGUUGGGUCUUGGUUCAAAAUCCUCAAGGGCUUCCUUUUUUUCCUUAACAUCAAUGUCGUUGUUAUCAUAAGCUGAAAUAUUGGGUCUUGGUUCAAAAUCUUUAACGGAUUCCUUCUUUUCACUAGAAUCAAUUUCAUUGUCUCCAUAA